rnacentral:lncRNA from 1 species
AUAUUUUUGAAAGGUUAAUCGAUUAUCGUCCAGCGAUAAUCGAUUAUCGUUGCAGAUUUUUUGAUAAAUUAUUCAAUCAUUUAGCAACGGAUACAAGAGUUUUUAGGGCUAUAAAUACAUCCCAAAAACUCUCAUUUGACACACAACAAUCUGAGCAAAUAUCAUAUACAAGCUUCCAAACAUUCUACAUUCAUUUCAUAUUUUUAAUUGCUUUUGAGAAGCCAUUUCUUAAAUUUAUUGUUGUGUUCUUGAGCGUACUUGUUUACUCAUAUCGACUCUAUAAAGAGAGUUCUGUUUAAGUGAGUGUAAGU